rnacentral:rRNA from 1 species
UGCUCCUUCUGGUUUAGCGGCGGACGGGUGAGUAACACGUGGGCAACCUGCCCUGCAGAUCGGGAUAACUCCGGGAAACCGGUGCUAAUACCGAAUAGUUUGCGGCCUCUCCUGAGGCUGCACGGAAAGACGGUUUCGGCUGUCACUGCAGGAUGGGCCCGCGGCGCAUUAGCUAGUUGGUGGGGUAAUGGCCUACCAAGGCGACGAUGCGUAGCCGACCUGAGAGGGUGAUCGGCCACACUGGGACUGAGACACGGCCCAGACUCCUACGGGAGGCAGCAGUAGGGAAUCUUCCGCAAUGGACGAAAGUCUGACGGAGCAACGCCGCGUGAGUGACGAAGGUUUUCGGAUCGUAAAACUCUGUUGUGAGGGAAGAACAAGUACCAACUAACUACUGGUACCUUGACGGUACCUCACCAGAAAGCCACGGCUAACUACGUGCCAGCAGCCGCGGUAAUACGUAGGUGGCAAGCGUUGUCCGGAAUUAUUGGGCGUAAAGCGCGCGCAGGCGGUUCUUUAAGUCUGAUGUGAAAGCCCACGGCUCAACCGUGGAGGGUCAUUGGAAACUGGAGAA